CAGGUGCUGCAUGGCCGUCGUCAGCUCGUGCCGUGAGGUGUUGGGUUAAGUCCCGCAACGAGCGCAACCCCGCCGUUAGUUGCCAGCGGUUCGGCCGGGCGACGUCUAACGGGACUGCCCGCGAAAGCGGGAGGAAGAGGGGACGACGUCUGGUCAGCAUGGCCCUUACGGCCUGGGCGACACACGUGCUACAAUGCCCACUACAAAGCGAGGCCACCCGGCAACGGGGAGCUAAUCGCAAAAAGGUGGGCCCAGUUCGGAUUGGGGUCUGCAACCCGACCCCAUGAAGCCGGAAUCGCUAGUAAUCGCGGAUCAGCCAUGCCGCGGUGAAUACGUUCCCGGGCCUU
rnacentral:rRNA from 1 species